CCGGAAGCCACUGCUAUCGGGGUUUGACUAAGCCAUGCGAGUCGAGAGGUGCAAGACCUCGGCGUACUGCUCAGUAACACGUGGACAAUCUGACCUGAAGUGGAGGAUAAUCCCGGGAAACUGGGGGUAAUACUCCAUAGUUCGUUCUGCCUGGAAUGGUUUACGAAUGAAAGAUCCGUCGCUUCAGGAUGAGUCUGCGGCCGAUUAGGUAGUUGUUGGGGUAACGGCCCAACAAGCCUGUAAUCGGUACGGGUUGUGGAAGCAAGAGCCCGGAGAUGGAUUCUGAGACACGAAUCCAGGCCCUACGGGGCGCAGCAGGCGCGAAAACUUUACAAUGCGGGCAACCGUGAUAAGGAAACCCCGAGUGCCAGCACAGGCUGGCUGUCCAUCAGUGUAAACAGCUGGUGAAGAAAGGGCCGGGCAGGACCGGUGCCAGCCGCCGCGGUAAUACCGGCGGCUCGAGUGGUGGCCGCUAUUACUGGGCUUAAAGGGUCCGUAGCUUGAUAUACAAGUCCCUUGAGAAAUCCGCCAGCUUAACUGGCGGGCGUUCAGGGGAAACUGUAUUUCUAGGGACCGGGAGAGGUGAGAGGUACUGCCGGGGUAGGAGUGAAAUCCUGUAAUCCCGGUGGGACCACCUAUGGCGAAGGCAUCUCACCAGAACGGGUCCGACAGUGAGGGACGAAAGCUGGGGGAGCAAACCGGAUUAGAUACCCGGGUAGUCCCAGCUGUAAACGAUGCGCGUUAGGUGUGUCAGUGACCACGUGUCACUGAGGUGCCGAAGGGAAACCGUGAAACGCGCCGCCUGGGGAGUACGGUCGCAAGGCUGAAACUUAA
rnacentral:rRNA from 1 species